rnacentral:sRNA from 1 species
CCCCUCUCCUUGGUGCAUCCUUUUUGCGGCCACCGCAGGUCGGAGCUGCUCGGCUCUGAGUUGCGGAUGCCUGUGUUCUCAGGUGUGAAGAGCCACGCCUGCGAGCAGUGUGGGAAGUCCUUUGCCAGGAAGGACAUGCUGAAGGAGCACAUGCGUGUGCACGACAACGUCCGCGAGUACCUGUGUGCCGAGUGUGGGAAAGGCAUGAAGACCAAGCACGCGCUGCGCCACCACAUGAAGCUGCACAAGGGCAUCAAGGAGUACGAGUGCAAGGAGUGCCACCGCAGGUUCGCGCAGAAGGUCAACAUGCUCAAGCACUGCAAGCGGCACACGGGGAUUAAAGAUUUCAUGUGUGAAUUGUGUGGGAAGACAUUCAGCGAGAGGAACACGAUGGAGACCCACAAGCUCAUCCACACAGUGGGCAAGCAGUGGACGUGCUCCGUGUGCGACAAGAAGUACGUGACCGAGUACAUGCUGCAGAAGCACGUUCAGCUCACACACGACAAGGUGGAGGCGCAGAGCUGCCAGCUGUGCGGGACCAAGGUGUCCACCAGGGCCUCCAUGAGCCGACACAUGCGGCGCAAGCACCCCGAGGUGCUCGCGGUGAGGAUCGAUGACCUGGACCACCUCCCGGAGACCACCACCAUCGACGCCUCCUCCAUCGGCAUCGUCCAGCCUGAGCUGACUCUGGAGCAGGAGGAUU